UUGGAAAAGUAAAAAAGCGUAACAAGGUUUCCGUAGGUGAACCUGCGGAAGGAUCAUUACCUAGAGUUGCGGGCUUUGCCUGCCAUCUCUUACCCAUGUCUUUUGAGUACCUUCGUUUCCUCGGUGGGUUCGCCCGCCGGCUGGACAACACUUAAACCCUUUGUAAUUGAAAUCAGCGUCUGAAAAAACUUAAUAGUUACAACUUUCAACAACGGAUCUCUUGGUUCUGGCAUCGAUGAAGAACGCAGCGAAAUGCGAUAAGUAGUGUGAAUUGCAGAAUUCAGUGAAUCAUCGAAUCUUUGAACGCACAUUGCGCCCCUUGGUAUUCCAUGGGGCAUGCCUGUUCGAGCGUCAUUUGUACCUUCAAGCUCUGCUUGGUGUUGGGUGUUUGUCUCGCCUCUGCGCGCAGACUCGCCUCAAAACGAUUGGCAGCCGGCGUAUUGAUUUCGGAGCGCAGUACAUCUCGCGCUCUGCACUCACAACGACGACGUCCAAAAAGUACAUUCUUACACUCUGACCUCGGAUCAGUAGGAUCCGUC
rnacentral:rRNA from 1 species